rnacentral:misc_RNA from 1 species
AUGCGAUACGUAAUGUGAAUUGCAGAAUUCAGUGAAUCAUCGAAUCUUUGAACGCAUAUUGCGCUCUCUGGUAUUCCGGAGAGCAUGCUUGUUUGAGUAUCAGUAAACACCUCAACUCCCUUUUCUUUUUUGAAAUGGGAGCUGGACUUGAGUGAUCCCAACACUUUUCUCACUGGAAAGUGGCGGGUCACUUGAAAUGCAGGUGCAGCUGGACUUUUCUCUGAGCUAUAAGCAUAUCUAUUUAGUCUGCCUAAAAAACAGAUUAUUACCUUUGCUGCAGCUAACAUAAAGGAGAUGAGUUCUUGUGCUGACUGAUGCAGGAUUCACAGAGACAGCUUUGCGGCUGACUUUGUAAACUCGAUCUCAAAUCAAGUAAGACUACCCGCUGAACUUAA